rnacentral:rRNA from 1 species
GAUGAACGCUGGCGGCGUGCCUAAUACAUGCAAGUCGAACGCACAGCGAAAGGUGCUUGCACCUUUCAAGUGAGUGGCGAACGGGUGAGUAACACGUGGACAACCUGCCUCAAGGCUGGGGAUAACAUUUGGAAACAGAUGCUAAUACCGAAUAAAACUCAGUGUCGCAUGACACAAAGUUAAAAGGCGCUUUGGCGUCACCUAGAGAUGGAUCCGCGGUGCAUUAGUUAGUUGGUGGGGUAAAGGCCUACCAAGACAAUGAUGCAUAGCAGGGUUGAGAGACUGAACGGCCACAUUGGGACUGAGACACGGCCCAAACUCCUACGGGAGGCUGCAGUAGGGAAUCUUCCACAAUGGGCGAAAGCCUGAUGGAACAACGCCGCGUGUGUGAUGAAGGCUUUCGGGUCGUAAAGCACUGUUGUAUGGGAAGAACAGCUAGAAUAGGGAAUGAUUUUAGUUUGACGGUACCAUACCAGAAAGGGACGGCUAAAUACGUGCCAGCCGCCGCCGUAA